AGAGUUUGAUCCUGGCUCAGGAUGAACGCUAGCUACAGGCUUAACACAUGCAAGUCGAGGGGCAGCAUGGAAGUUUGCUUGCAAACUUUUGAUGGCGACCGGCGCACGGGUGAGUAACACGUAUCCAACCUGCCUCAUACUCGGGGAUAGCCUUUCGAAAGAAAGAUUAAUACCCGAUGUCAUAGUCCUACCGCAUGAUGGGAUUAUUAAAGAAUUUCGGUAUGGGAUGGGGAUGCGUUCCAUUAGUUAGUUGGCGGGGUAACGGCCCACCAAGACAACGAUGGAUAGGGGUUCUGAGAGGAAGGUCCCCCACAUUGGAACUGAGACACGGUCCAAACUCCUACGGGAGGCAGCAGUGAGGAAUAUUGGUCAAUGGACGAGAGUCUGAACCAGCCAAGUAGCGUGAAGGAUGACUGCCCUAUGGGUUGUAAACUUCUUUUAUAUGGGAAUAAAACGUUCCACGUGUGGGAUUUUGUAUGUACCAUAUGAAUAAGGAUCGGCUAACUCCGUGCCAGCAGCCGCGGU
rnacentral:rRNA from 1 species